GCAAACGCCACGUGACUCUCGGCGUCGUGAGCGCUCGGCUUCUGCUGCUUUCUCCGGUGGCGGCAGCUGGUCUACCGCACACCCUCUCUUCAGGAGUCUUAUGCCCCCCAAAUUCAACUUUAUUCCCCGUGCCACACCUCUUGGUGGACACAUAUUUAAAACAGCCUUGUAAGCGGAGGAGCUCCACCCUAUCUGCAACCUUAAAUCCACUUCUGUGCGCUCACUCCUGAACCAAUAAGACUGCACCCUCCUUCACACACAUUCGUCUCAGCCAUAGCUCCACGCCGAGGCUCCCGUUCCAUACAGCUACCCAUGCUCUAUCCACUGCCUCUGCUUCUUCUUUGAUGUCCAUUAUACUACCGAACCCAGACUUACAGACCUGGUCUGGCUAAUCUCCCUGUUGCUGUGUGCAAGAAAGCAGCAGAUAGAAGAAGCUGAGACACUGAAGAGACUCAACCUUCCCUCCCUUCUUGUUUUCCAUUGGUUUAUUUUUACACAUCUUUACACGUACCCAAAAGACUAAUGUCAGGCCGUGGUAGUACUCGGGGUUCACGGGUGGAAUGCCCGUUAGCUGACUUCAGUUUUUAAACUGCUGUUCUCGGUGCCAGUGACAUGGAGGCUCCUAGAACAAGGCUGAGUAGCCAGCGGUGCUCAGUACGUGGAAAGAGGAAAACAGGAAGAUCAAUAUGAAGCAAGGCCCUCCAUCUCCUGGCCACACACAUCCCAGCUGGACUUCAGGAGCCCUCAGCUUUCACUCAGUGUACUUGCCAGCCAGAGGCCAUCAACUGUCUAUAGUUUGGGGGAUCAUGACCACUUCCCCACUCCACGCUGGAAUGUUGACAGCUGAUCUUGUGCUGAUUUUGUGCAGGCCGCCACAGCCACCAGGAGCUCAUGACAUGAUGGUCCCCUCUUGUCUAGAAGACUGUUUCCCAUCCAUUCUCUUGCCUCUGGCUGUUCUGCUCCCUCUUCCACAAUGAUCUCUGAUCCUUGGGAAUAAGGAUGAUACAAAUAUCUCAUUUAUGAAUGAACACUCCACUAACACUCAUUCUCUGUCUUGUGAGUUUCUGCAUCAACCACUACCCACUACACACAGCAACUC